GACGAACGCUGGCGGCGUGCUUAACACAUGCAAGUCGAACGGAAAGUCCCUGCUUUUGUGGGGUGCUCGAGUGGCGAACGGGUGAGUAACACGUGAGUAACCUGCCCUUGACUUUGGGAUAACUUCAGGAAACUGGGGCUAAUACCGGAUAGGAGCUCCUGCUGCAUGGUGGGGGUUGGAAAGUUUCGGCGGUUGGGGAUGGACUCGCGGCUUAUCAGCUUGUUGGUGGGGUAGUGGCUUACCAAGGCUUUGACGGGUAGCCGGCCUGAGAGGGUGACCGGACACAUUGGGACUGAGAUACGGCCCAGACGCGUAGGGGAGGCAGCAGUGGGGAAUAAUGCACAAUGGGCGGAAGCCUGAUGCAGCAACGCCGCGUGCUGGAUGACGGCCUUCGGGUUGUAAACCGCUUUCGCCUGUGACGAAGCGUGAGUGACGGUAAUGGGUAAAGAAGCACCGGCUAACUACGUG
rnacentral:rRNA from 1 species